GCCAAGCCUCUGGCCUAGCAAAAUCACAGUGGUUGCAGUCUUCCUUGGCUUCCUUCUGGUCAGCUGCUGCAGGUGGUGAGAGUCUGCUUGACAGACCUGGCUGUAUUUUUGCAAAACACAUGCCUGAAGAGAAGAGAAGGAAAAAAAGACCUUAGCCUCUAUUUCUGCAAAUCACAUUCUAAGUUUACAAGCAAUGGGAUCUGUCAUAUAUGGGAAAAUAUGGAUGGAAAAGCAGUCUAACAGUACCCAUGGGAAAAAUCUUUGUGAGAAGGUUUCAAUGCUUCAAAUCUGUGGCAGUAGCAAAUCACAGUCUGCCACUUCAGAUGAAUGAGAG